UACGGGGGGUGCGAGCGUUGUCCGGAAUCACUGGGCUUAAAGGGCGCGUAGGCGGGCUGCUAAGUCAGGGGUGAAAGCCCACGGCUCAACCGGGGAAUUGCGCCUGAUACUGGCGGGCUAGAGUUCGAUAGGGGUGAGUGGAACUCCAGGUGGAGCGGUGAAAUGCGUAGAUAUCUGGAGGAACACCGGUGGCGAAAGCGGCUCACUGGAUCGAUACUGACGCUGAGGUGCGAAAGCUAGGGUAGCAAACGGG
rnacentral:rRNA from 1 species